UGGAAUAGAGAAUCAUGCUGAGGUGUUGU
rnacentral:piRNA from 1 species